AGAGUUUGAUUCUGGCUCAGGAUGAACGCUGGCGGCGUGCUUAACACAUGCAAGUCGAACGGACCUGUACUGAAACCUAGUGAUUUACAGGUUAGUGGCGGACGGGUGAGUAACGCGUGGAAAACCUGCCGUAUACUGGGGGAUAACACUUAGAAAUAGGUGCUAAUACCGCAUAAGCGCACAGACCCGCAUGGGACAGUGUGGAAAACAAAAAGCUAAAGCUUUUUGUGGUAUACGAUGGUUCCGCGUCUGAUUAGCUUGUUGGCGGGGUAACGGCCCACCAAGGCGACGAUCAGUAGCCGGCCUGAGAGGGUGAACGGCCACAUUGGGACUGAGACACGGCCCAGACUCCUACGGGAGGCAGCAGUGGGGAAUAUUGCACAAUGGGGGAAACCCUGAUGCAGCGACGCCGUGUGAGUGAA
rnacentral:rRNA from 1 species